rnacentral:rRNA from 1 species
ACGCACGCUGGCGGCGUGCCUAAUACAUGCAGGUAGAACGCUGAAGACGGAGCUUGCUUCUCUGGAUGAGUUGCGAACGGGUGAGUAACGCGUAGGUAACCUGCCUGGUAGCGGGGGAUAACUAUUGGAAACGAUAGCUAAUACCGCAUAAGAGUAGAUGUUGCAUGACAUUUGCUUAAAAGGUGCAAUUGCAUCACUACCAGAUGGACCUGCGUUGUAUUAGCUAGUUGGUGGGGUAACGGCUCACCAAGGCGACGAUACAUAGCCGACCUGAGAGGGUGAUCGGCCACACUGGGACUGAGACACGGCCCAGACUCCUACGGGAGGCAGCAGGAGGGAAUCUUCGGCAAGGGACGGAAGUCUGACCGAGCAACGCCGCGUGAGUGAAGAAGGGUUUCGGAUCGUAAAGCUCUGUUGUAAGAGAAGAACGAGUGUGAGAGUGGAAAGUUCACACUGUGACGGUAUCUUACCAGAAAGGGACGGCUAACUACGUG